rnacentral:rRNA from 1 species
AUUGAACGCUGGCGGCAUGCCUAACACAUGCAAGUCGAACGGGGUAGCAAUACCCAGUGGCGGACGGGUGAGGAAUACAUAGGAAUUUGCCUUUAGGUGGGGGAUAGCCCGGGGAAACUCGGAGUAAUACCGCAUGAUGUCGAAAGACCAAAGUAGGGGAUCGCAAGACCUUGCGCCUUUAGAGAAGCCUAUGUCUGAUUAGCUAGUUGGUAGGGUAAUGGCCUACCAAGGCGACGANCAGUAACUGGUCUGAGAGGACGAUCGGCCACACUGGAACUGAGACACGGUCCAGACUCCUACGGGAGGCAGCAGUGGGGAAUUUUUCGCAAUGGGGGCAACCCUGACGAAGCAACGCCGCGUGGGGGAUGAAGGUCUUCGGAUUGUAAACCCCUGUCGACCGGGACGAAUGUAGAACGGCUAAUACGCGAGCUAUUGACUGUACCGGUGGAGGAAGCCACGGCUAACUCUGUGCCAGCAGCCGCAGUAAC